rnacentral:rRNA from 1 species
CCUGACUGACCGAUAGUGAACCAGUACCGUGAGGGAAAGGCGAAAAGAACCCCGGCGAGGGGAGUGAAAAAGAACCUGAAACCGUGUACGUACAAGCAGUAGGAGCCCACUUGUUGGGUGACUGCGUACCUUUUGUAUAAUGGGUCAGCGACUUAUAUUCUGUAGCAAGGUUAACCGUAUAGGGGAGCCGCAGGGAAACCGAGUCUUAACUGGGCGUUAAGUU